rnacentral:lncRNA from 1 species
AGCCUUCUUCCAGCCGUUACAGGCAGACCCAGACUUGACACGCCAAUAUACGCACAACCAAAUCAUCAGGUGAACUCUAAUUACUGACUCCUGUUUCCCUCGCUCUACGCGAGCCUUUGUAAAGAACCGUGUGCCCUUCUCGCUCCUCUGUCCCUCUGCCCCGGUUCCCUUGGCCAUAGCGCCCAUCACAGCCCGCAGGGCUCUCUCACGGCAGCUGGACAGCCGUCUGCGCACAGCCUCUCCCUCGCCCCUCUCUCUCUCACAGGCUCGCAGGAACCACGCCAAGGCCCCGGUCGCCCCAGUGCACCCCGCCUUUCCCUCGUCUCCCCAGCGGGCGAGUGGAUUACCCACGAGCGCAGUACUCGUGGACGAACGUGCGACAGCCGUGUCCUGUCACCUGCGCCCUGCAUCGCCUCUCCCCUCUUCCCAACCUCUCCCGCAGACGCUCCUUCUCCCGCAGCGUGCCGCCCCACUGCAGCACGACCACGGCAGCUCUCUGGCCUUCCCCAGCGAGCGAGUGAAUAACACGAGCGAGCCCUCGUGUGCCUACGUGUGACGGCCCUGCCUGUCACGGGCUCCUCUCUUUCUUUCUCCUCUCUCCCUCUCUCUACCCGCCGCAGCGUGUCCUCCCACGUGCAGCACGGCCCCUGCCUCCGUUCACGCAGACUUCCGCUGUAAGACGCAUCUCGAUUAACUCAACAACGCUUCCGCACUUAUCUCUCAACAGCUAAAACAGCCUCCAUCACACACAUACGGUAUCGUAAUCAGCAAGCUUCCGCUCUACUGUCGCUUCCGCAGCCUCAGCCGAGUGACGCACGCGCUCUGUCCUCAUACAGGCACGUGUUACAGGUUAUACAACGAGCACAAUUAUGUCGUGGACGCGUUCCGCGUAGGCCCGGCGGGCUGCCUCCACACAGGGGAUCAGUCUGCUCGCUCUGAGCACAAUCAAGCAAUGUACUGUUGCGCCUAUCUGGGGUAUCAACAGACAGCGCCGCUUCCAGGCAUCACUGUCCGCUAAAAAUUGGGCGAUACAAGUGUUCUGUCAGUGGUAGUGCGGCCGGUCCGCCUUUAUGCCUCACAACGCCUGCCCAAGUUCCACCCACACGGAAAACCAAAGCGCUGCGGCACUGCGAGAGGUCGCCGCGCGGUACUCACUCCUGGCGGCACGUUAGCCCUGCUGCCUGCUGCGGCUGCGGAGUAGCCGCAAAACCCCGGCAUCAACGGCUCCAAAACCCAAGCCUCCACCAACACGGCCCAAGCCAGCCUCCACGUGCUGGCCCAGCUGGUCCAUCCCGCGCCGCAGAUUCUCACUUCCCACCUCCAUCCCGAGGCGUAGCUUGUCGCUUCCCACCUCCACCCCGCGCCGCAGAUGCACAGCUCCUUCCACCACACCAAGCCGCAGGUGCACAGCUCCUUGCACCACGCCGAGCCGUAGAUGCCAGGCCGCGACCAUGACAGCUAUCGCCCAGAAGAGCGGUCCCCAUGCUGACGAAUGCAAUAUGCUCUGCAUGCAUUGGACACAGCGCAGUAGAGGGUGAUUCCGUGAACUGUCGAACUGGCCUAACUACAUGUUUGAAUGGCGUUCGUGAACCAAGUAUGCAAUCCAUUUGGUUCUUUGCUAAAGAUNNNNNNNNNNNNNNNNNNNNNNNNNNNNNNNNNNNNNNNNNNNNNNNNNNNNNNNNNNNNNNNNNNNNNNNNNNNNNNNNNNNNNNNNNNNNNNNNNNNNCAACCCAUACAUGUCGCUGUCCGCGGUGUGCGUUGACUUCCAACAUCCUAACUCAGCUUCCAGCGCUCAUUGCACAUGGACAUACACAACUGGCGAUGCACCCAAACCGAAAGGCCCCGUGCGGGUAUGGAAGCCGCGCUCGCUGCUCUGUCCCUGAAUAUGCCUCACAACGCCUGCCCAAGUUCCACCCACACGGAAAACCAAAGCGCUGCGGCACUGCGAGAGGUCGCCGCGCGGUACUCACUCCUGGCGGCACGUUAGCCCUGCUGCCUGCUGCGGCUGCGGAGUAGCCGCAAAACCCCGGCAUCAACGGCUCCAAAACCCAAGCCUCCACCAACACGGCCCAAGCCAGCCUCCACGUGCUGGCCCAGCUGGUCCAUCCCGCGCCGCAGAUUCUCACUUCCCACCUCCAUCCCGAGGCGUAGCUUGUCGCUUCCCACCUCCACCCCGCGCCGCAGAUGCACAGCUCCUUCCACCACACCAAGCCGCAGGUGCACAGCUCCUUGCACCACGCCGAGCCGUAGAUGCCAGGCCGCGACCAUGACAGCUAUCGCCCAGAAGAGCGGUCCCCAUGCUGACGAAUGCAAUAUGCUC